AGGGUAAACGCUGGCGGCGUGCCUAAAACAUGCAAGUCGAACGGACAGUCGCAAGAUUGUCAGUGGCAGACGGCUGAGUAACGCGUGGGUGACGUGCCGAUAGGUGGGGAAUAACUGCCCGAAAGGGUGGCUAAUACCGCAUACGUCCAUUGAUUCGGUUUCAAUGGGGGAAAGCUUCGCAAGAGGCGCCGAUAGAGCGGCCCGCGUCCGAUUAGCUUGUUGGUGGGGUAACGCCUACCAAGGCGACGAUCGGUAGCUGGUCUCAGAGGAUGAUCAGCCAGACUGGGACUGAGACACGGCCCAGACUCCUACGGGAGGCAGCAGUUAGGAAUUUUGGACAAUGGGCGCAAGCCUGACCCAGCAACGCCGCGUGGGUGACGAAGGCCUUCGGGUUGUAAAGCCCUUUCUGAGGAAGAUGAUGACGGUACCUCAGGAGAAGCACCGGCUAACUACGUGCCAGCAGCCGC
rnacentral:rRNA from 1 species